AGAGUUUGAUCCUGGCUCAGGAUGAACGCUAGCGGCAGGCCUAACACAUGCAAGUCGAACGGUAACAGGGAUUAGCUUGCUAAUCCGCUGACGAGUGGCGCACGGGUGCGUAACGCGUAUACAAUCUGCCUUUAAGCGGGGAAUAGCCCAUGGAAACGUGGAUUAAUACCCCAUAGUAUGUAGACUUCACCUGGAGACUACAUUAAACAUUUAUGGCUUAAAGAUGAGUAUGCGUCCUAUUAGUUAGUUGGUAAGGUAACGGCUUACCAAGACGGCGAUAGGUAGGGGUCCUGAGAGGGAGAUCCCCCACACUGGUACUGAGACACGGACCAGACUCCUACGGGAGGCAGCAGUGAGGAAUAUUGGACAAUGGAGGCAACUCUGAUCCAGCCAUGCCGCGUGCAGGAAGACGGCCCUAUGGGUUGUAAACUGCUUUUAUACGGGAAGAACCACAUCUACGUGUAGAUGCUUGACGGUACCGUAUGAAUAAGGACCGGCUAACUCCGUGCCAGCAGCCGCGGUAAUACGGAGGGUCCAAGCGUUAUCCGGAAUCAUUGGGUUUAAAGGGUCCGUAGGCGGGAUAAUAAGUCAGUGGUGAAAGUCUGCAGCUCAACUGUAGAAUUGCCAUUGAUACUGUUGUUCUUGAAUUAUUAUGAAGUGGUUGGAAUGAGUAGUGUAGCGGUGAAAUGCAUAGAUAUUACUCAGAACACCUAUUGCGAAGGCAGAUCACUAAUAAUAUAUUGACGCUGAGGGACGAAAGCGUAGGUAGCGAACAGGAUUAGAUACCCUGGUAGUCUACGCCGUAAACGAUGGUUACUAGCUGUUCGGCUCGAUUGAGAGCUGAGUGGUUAAGCGAAAGUGAUAAGUAACCCACCUGGGGAGUACGUUCGCAAGAAUGAAACUCAAAGGAAUUGACGGGGGCCCGCACAAGCGGUGGAGCAUGUGGUUUAAUUCGAUGAUACGCGAGGAACCUUACCAGGGCUUAAAUGCAGUUGGACAGGUCUGGAAACAGACCCU
rnacentral:rRNA from 1 species